rnacentral:rRNA from 1 species
CCCUAUGGGGGCGCUGGCUGUGCAUGUUGCUUCCGGCUCUCGCCGUCGUAACCCUCGUCCUCUCGGUUGGAGCUCACUUACUGACCGCCGCAUGAAUGCCAUCAAGUUCGCCGCUGGAUAAAGGUGAAUGAAUGGGGAUGAAUGGGGACUGAGGAGAAUGGCGCUAAGGUAAGGCGCAAGAGCGUGUGUGACAAGUCCAGCAUUCCCCCCCUACCCCCCCGCUUGUAGGGGGGUAGGGGGGGAACGGCAUGAACCAACGAGUUUGGAGGUGGCUUGUUCCUUUCUCUGUUUUCAUCCCGUGUGAUUGACGGUUUUCGAUUACGAGUACGAGUACGAGAACGAGUACGAACGGGAAUCGAUUACGAGUACGAGCACGAGCACGAGCACGAAAUGAAUUGGCGGGGGAGC